rnacentral:lncRNA from 1 species
AUGUGGCAUGAUCUUAUAGCUCUUGUACAACUUUUGCUCUAUAGAGGCUUCCCUCUUGGAGUUAUAACACUCAUUUGAACACUUCGCAGGUUAGCAAAUACGAAAUAGGCUGGAGCUGCUCGGUUAUGCUUAUUGGAAUUUGCGACUCCAUGCAAGGCCUAGUAGUCUAAAGUUUCAUUUUGUUAUUUUCGAUCCGCUUGUGGAUCUUUAGUACACUU